rnacentral:rRNA from 1 species
GGUCUCAGUUCAGAUUGCAGGCUGCAACCCGCCUGCAUGAAGUCGGAAUUGCUAGUAAUCGCGGAUCAGCAUGCCGCGGUGAAUACGUUCCCGGGCCUUGUACACACCGCCCGUCACACCAUGGGAGCCGGUAAUACCCGAAGUCAGUAGUCCAACCUCGUGAGGACGCUGCCGAAGGUAGGAUUGGCGACUGGGGUGAAGUCGUAACAAGGUAAC